rnacentral:rRNA from 1 species
AAAGUGGCGAACGGCUGAGUAACACGUGGGCAACCUGCCCUUUGCACUGGGAUAGCCUCGGGAAACCGAGGUUAAUACCGGAUACUCCAUAUUUGUCGCAUGGCGAAUAUGGGAAAAGCUCCGGCGGCAAAGGAUGGGCCCGCGGCCUGUUAGCUAGUUGGUGGGGUAGUGGCCUACCAAGGCAAUGAUGGGUAGCCGGGUUGAGAGACCGACCGGCCAGAUUGGGACUGAGACACGGCCCAGACUCCUACGGGAGGCAGCAGCA